UACGGAGGGUGCAAGCGUUAUCCGGAUUUACUGGGUUUAAAGGGUGCGUAGGCGGGUUGUUAAGUCAGGGGUGAAACCUCCGAGCUUAACUCGGAAACUGCCUUUGAUACUAUCAGUCUUGAAUUCAGUUGAGGUGGGCGGAAUGUGUCGUGUAGCGGUGAAAUGCUUAGAUAUGACACAGAACACCAAUUGCGAAGGCAGCUCGCUAAACUGACAUUGACGCUGAGGCACGAAAGCGUGGGGAUCAAACAGG
rnacentral:rRNA from 1 species